CUUAGCAAUGACACAGCUCGGCCCCGGGGCCUCAUUGCUGAUAACGGGAACCGUGGCAACACAAAGCAUCCUGCAGUUUGUCGCUUAGAAUCCGUGGGUUCACAUGUGAGUGACUUCAGGACCGAUCUCUGCUUCACACAGAUGGUCCUUUCUAAUUACACGGUGAGAAAACACGAUGCGUUCAUUGGCACAAGUGUCGGGCAGGAAGCUGCUCUUUUAGUGAAAUGAGAGGACGUGUUUGUGGGUGUGAGUUCAUCUAUACAUUACGUACUGAUCAGUGGGAUUGCUCAGCGAUUCUUUGUCACUGAAACCAGAAUCUUUGGUUGUUUCCUCGUUUUUUCUGCAGAAAAACCCCCAGAGAUUCAUGGUUUGAUGUUGCAGCUGCUUUUACAGCAGCUUCGUGAGGCCCUUUGUUAUUACUUCACUUUUUCAUUUAAUGAAUAUUUUAUGUAACAUGAAACUCGGGACUCUGACGAUGAUGUCAUCACCCCAUAGGUUCAUCUUAAGGAUGUCAGUUUCUUUUAUUUCAACUUAAUUCCAUGUUAAGAAACCAUGUUUUCCUCCCAACAAGUAUAAUGUGGCUCUACAUACCUCCAUGAGCUUCGUUGGCGUUGCUAUGGAGAUUGGAUUUAUAUUAGGACGAAAGAUGUUUUGAAAAAAAACAGUCAAAACAUAUUUUAUGUUGAAAUAUGUCAUGGAAAAAAUAUAUAUAUAUUAGGUAAAAAACGGGGAAAAAGAAUAUUAGGUAGGAAAACGUUUUGAAAAAAAAGUGAGAAUAUGUUAGGUUGAAAUAUGUCAUGGAAAAAAAGAGUAAAAAAUUAUUAAUCUAAAAAAUGUUUGGUAAAAUUAAAAAUAACACAGGUCAAAAUUUGGGGAACAAAACACUGCUCCAUAGGUGUUGAAUUCAUCCACAAUGUGACCGCUCUUGGACACAAGCCUUUUCCCCCAAACAUGUGAUGCCUUCCAACAAGUCCAUUUUAUUGAAGAAAUCCACUUUGUCUAAACUCCACGCUCAUAAUCUAGGACUGGUCAGUCUCGACUUCGACGAGGACCCGGUCCCGUCGCCACCGUCUUCAACACAUUCAAAGGUAAAUAUUUAUACAUAUAAAACACGGGUUGAGCAACAAAAUGCAACAGAAUCGAUGGGGUCAUCCGACCGGUCUGUGAGUAAACUGCUGCGGACCUCCACCCGUGUUGUUGUUGUGUGAGGUCACAGGGGAAGAAACAAAUAUGGGGGACAAUUUAAACAUUUAUCUGGUUAUAAUAGUUUUGUUCAUUGCACAUUUAUUACCACAUUUGAGUCCAAAACCCUUUUUAACUGAUCCAAACUGCAAAAAAUGGAAGUUAAUGUGUUUGUUUUUUAUAUACAAAUGAAUGCGGGAGCUCGCAAACGCCGCCGACACUAAGCGCCGUUUCUGUCCUUCCUGCCUCACUGUGACACCAAAACACACACACACACACACACACACACACACACACACAGGACAACUUCAUGUUGCGUGUGUGUGUGUUUGAUUCAGAUGUGACUCUGCCGCCUAAACCAUGUAGGCGCUGCAGCAGAGUGUCAUAUAUUGACGCCAUGGCAACAACACAAAGCUGUGCGGUUACAUAAAGACGAGUGAAAAGACAAACUGAUCAGAAACAGCGGCGGCUUCACCUGGUGGAGACGAUCUGAUCCUAAUACCGUUUGAUAAAAAAGAUUAAAUAAUUGAUGAAUGCGUCGUCAAACUUAUUGGGUCUUCACAUUAUUUAUAAUUACCUAAAUUGAACUUGAGGUACGAGGUUUGGGGCCUGUACACGUUUUCUAUUCCCUUGUUAUUGGUUAAGGGGGUCACAUGACGUUAUUACUUAACUUUGAACUAAAUGUUCUCAUCAGAGGUCACCUUGGGGACCGCGGACAACACAACCUCAGGAGGAGAUACGAGCUUUCGCCAGAUGGAGCCGAUGGAGUGAUCACAUUUCAUCACGAGCUGCUUUAAUCAUUUCAAAAGUUAAAUGUAUGUCAAAGCUCAGAAACAGACGUUAAAGGUAACCAAUAGCAACUCAAGCAAAACAUAAGUUUGAACCUGAACCCUGUAAAAAAUUAUCCAGGAGCUCAGUUUAAAGAAUCACUUCCUGCUGCUCUGAUUUCACAUUAAGAGCUUGAAUCGCAGCUCCAACGUUUAAUGCAACUACGAUUUGAUAUCAUCCACCCAGUGUGCUGUCAAUCAAAUAAAUGCCAAAGAACGUUUCCG
ensembl:lncRNA